CGCGCAGGUGGUUUCUUAAGUCUGAUGUGAAAGCCCGGGGCUCAACCCCGGUACUGCAUUGGAAACUGUCGUACUAGAGUGUCGGAGGGGUAAGCGGAAUUCCUAGUGUAGCGGUGAAAUGCGUAGAUAUUAGGAGGAACACCAGUGGCGAAGGCGGCUUACUGGAUGAUAACUGACGCUGAGGCUCGAAAGCGUGGGGAGCAAACA
rnacentral:rRNA from 1 species